rnacentral:tRNA from 1 species
GUUGGUAGAGCGUCAGUCUCAUAAUCUGAAGGUCGCCAGUUCGAUCCUGGCAGGGAGCA